rnacentral:SRP_RNA from 1 species
GAUUCGGAUCCAUGCGGCUCCGACGCCUAAAUCUGGUCAGAUCCGGAAGGCAGCAGCCACACGGGAUGCUCGAAGCAGGCGUGGACUCCGGGUCACC